ensembl:misc_RNA Metazoa_SRP Metazoan signal recognition particle RNA
GCCGGGCGUGGUGGCGCGCGCCUGUAGUCCCAGCUACUCGGGAGGCUGAGGUGGGAGGAUCGCUUGAGUCCAGGAGUUCUGGGCUGCAGUGCGCUAUGCCGAUCGGGUGUCCGCACUAAGUUCGGCAUCAAUAUGGUGACCUCCCGGGAGCGGGGGACCACCAGGUUGCCUAAGGAGGGGUGAACCGGCCCAGGUCGGAAACGGAGCAGGUCAAAACUCCCGUGCUGAUCAGUAGUGGGAUCGCGCCUGUGAAUAGCCACUGCACUCCAGCCUGGGCAAUAUAGUGAGACCCUGUCUCU